rnacentral:rRNA from 1 species
GUGCCAGCCGCCGCGGUAAUACGGAGGGUGCGAGCGUUAAUCGGAAUAACUGGGCGUAAAGGGCACGCAGGCGGUGACUUAAGUGAGGUGUGAAAGCCCCGGGCUUAACCUGGGAAUUGCAUUUCAUACUGGGUCGCUAGAGUACUUUAGGGAGGGGUAGAAUUCCACGUGUAGCGGUGAAAUGCGUAGAGAUGUGGAGGAAUACCGAAGGCGAAGGCAGCCCCUUGGGAAUGUACUGACGCUCAUGUGCGAAAGCGUGGGGAGCAAACAGGAUUAGAUACCCUGGUAGUCCACGCUGUAAACGAUGUCGAUUUGGGGGUUGAACUUUGUGUUUGGCGCCCGUAGCUAACGUGAUAAAUCGACCGCCUGGGGAGUACAGCCGCAAGGUUAAAACUCAAAGGAAUUGACGG